rnacentral:rRNA from 1 species
UUGACGGGGGCCCGCACAAGCGGUGGAGCAUGUGUUUAAUUCGAAGCAACGCGAAGAACCUUUACCAGGUCUUGACAUCCCGAUGCUAUUUCUAGAGAUAGAAAGUUACUUCGGUACAUCGGUGACAGGUGGUGCAUGGUUGUCGUCAGCUCGUGUCGUGAGAUGUUGGGUUAAGUCCCGCAACGAGCGCAACCCCUAUUGUUAGUUGCCAUCAUUCAGUUGGGCACUCUAGCGAGACUGCCGGUAAUAAACCGGAGGAAGUGGGGAUGACGUCAAAUCAUCAUGCCCCUUAUGACCUGGGCUACACACGUGCUACAAUGGUUGGUACAACGAGUUGCGAGUCGGUGACGGCGAGCUAAUCUCUUAAAGCCAAUCUCAGUUCGGAUUGUAGGCUGCAACUCGCCUACAUGAAGUCGGAAUCGCUAGUAAUCGCGGAUCAGCACGCCCGCGGUCGAAUACGUUCCCGGGCCUU